rnacentral:rRNA from 1 species
AUUGAACGCUGGCGGCGUGCUUAACACAUGCAAGUCGAUCGGUAACAGGUGUAGCAAUACAUGCUGACGAGAGGCGGACGGGUGAGUAAUGCUUGGGAAUCUGCCUAUUAGUGGGGGACAACCCGGGGAAACUCGGGCUAAUACCGCAUACGCUCUACGGAGGAAAGCCGGGGACCGCAAGGCCUGGCGCUAAUAGAUGAGCCCAAGUCGGAUUAGCUAGUUGGUAGGGAACGGCCUACCAAGGCGACAAUCCGUAGCUGGUCUGAGAGGACGACCAGCCACACCGGAACUGAGACACGGUCCGGACUCCUACGGGAGGCAGCAGUGGGGAAUAUUGGACAAUGGGGGCAACCCUGAUCCAGCGACGCCGCGUGGGUGAAGAAGGCCUGCGGGUUGUAAAGCCCUUUCGGUGGGGAAGAAAAGUCUCGACCUAAUACGUCGGGACCUUGACGUAACCCACUAAAGAAGCACCGGCUAACUCUGUGCCAGCAGCCGCUGUAAC